rnacentral:rRNA from 1 species
GACGAACGCUGGCGGCGUGCUUAACACAUGCAAGUCGAACGGAAAGGCCCUGCUUGCAGGGUACUCGAGUGGCGAACGGGUGAGUAACACGUGGGUGAUCUGCCCUGCACUUCGGGAUAAGCCUGGGAAACUGGGUCUAAUACCGGAUAGGAGCCAUUUUUAGUGUGAUGGUUGGAAAGUUUUUUCGGUGUAGGGUGAGCUCGCGGCCUAUCAGCUUGUUGGUGGGGUAAUGGCCUACCAAGGCGGCGACGGGUAGCCGGCCUGAGAGGGUGGACGGCCACAUUGGGACUGAGAUACGGCCCAGACUCCUACGGGAGGCAGCAGUGGGGAAUAUUGCACAAUGGGCGCAAGCCUGAUGCAGCGACGCCGCGUGGGGGAUGACGGCCUUCGGGUUGCAAACUCCUUUCGCUAGGGACGAAGCUUUUUGUGACGGUACCUAGAGAAGAAGCACCGGCUAACUACGUG